AUUCCAGUGGCGUAGUGGUUAACGCACGAGCCCGGAUAGGCGCAAGACGCGGGUUCAAAUCCCGUCCGAGAUG
rnacentral:tRNA from 1 species